AGUAGUUUGAUCAUGGCUCAGGAUGAACGCUGGCGGCGUGCUUAACACAUGCAAGUCGGAACGGGGUAAUUUUUUUAGUGAAGGAGCUUGCUCCCGAGCAGGGAAUUCCUAGUGGCGGACGGGUGAGUAACGCGUGGGUAACCUGCCCUGUACAGGGGGAUAGCAGUUGGAAACGACUGAUAAUACCGCAUAAGCGCACGGUAUCGCAUGAUACAGUGUAGAAAAACUCCGGUGGUACAGGAUGGACCCGCGUCCGAUUAGCCAGUUGGCGGGGUAACGGCCCACCAAAGCGACGAUCGGUAGCCGGCCUGAGAGGGCGACCGGCCACAUUGGGACUGAGACACGGCCCAAACUCC
rnacentral:rRNA from 1 species